ACCCUCCAGCACACACAGCGCAGCUCUGAUCAUCAGCUGCGCCCACAUGCCUUUCUCUGCCAGUUGCAGGUGGGGGGAAGGACCUGCGAUAACGCUCCUUUGUGCACGAAGGAUGCAGCAGUCUGACACCAGUUCUUGGGAUAAGAAUCAAUGUGACAUCUAUAGUGGAAGAAUGGGAGGAAGCCUGGCUAAAGGAAAGGGCCGAGCCUCUGGGAGAGGAAACACGGUCAGUGGAGGCAAAGUGCUGCUCAGAUGCAACGGUGACGCAACUAAACCUGAUCCUAGAACUGUGUUGCUCGUUUUGGCAACAUGGUGGAGUUGCUCUGUUUAGUUGGUUGUUUUUGGCGGCUUACACUUUGCACGUUCGGACAGUUGUUCUCUCUGGUUCUGGAUGCUGUGCAAAUGGAAGGAUAUUUGCUCUUACUUUCUUUUUCUU